AGAGUUUGAUCAUGGCUCAGAGCGAACGCUGGCGGCAGGCUUAACACAUGCAAGUCGAGCGGGCGUAGCAAUACGUCAGCGGCAGACGGGUGAGUAACGCGUGGGAACGUACCUUUUGGUUCGGAACAACUGAGGGAAACUUCAGCUAAUACCGGAUAAGCCCUUACGGGGAAAGAUUUAUCGCCGAAAGAUCGGCCCGCGUCUGAUUAGCUAGUUGGUGAGGUAAUGGCUCACCAAGGCGACGAUCAGUAGCUGGUCUGAGAGGAUGAUCAGCCACAUUGGGACUGAGACACGGCCCAAACUCCUACGGGAGGCAGCAGUGGGGAAUAUUGGACAAUGGGCGAAAGCCUGAUCCAGCCAUGCCGCGUGAGUGAUGAAGGCCCUAGGGUUGUAAAGCUCUUUUGUGCGGGAAGAUAAUGACGGUACCGCAAGAAUAAGCCCCGGCUAACUUCGUGCCAGCAGCCGCGGUAAUACGAAGGGGGCUAGCGUUGCUCGGAAUCACUGGGCGUAAAGGGUGCGUAGGCGGGUCUUUAAGUCAGAGGUGAAAUCCUGGAGCUCAACUCCAGAACUGCCUUUGAUACUGAGGAUCUUGAGUUCGGGAGAGGUGAGUGGAACUGCGAGUGUAGAGGUGAAAUUCGUAGAUAUUCGCAAGAACACCAGUGGCGAAGGCGGCUCACUGGCCCGAUACUGACGCUGAGGCACGAAAGCGUGGGGAGCAAACAGGAUUAGAUACCCCGGUAGUCC
rnacentral:rRNA from 1 species